rnacentral:snRNA from 1 species
AUACUUACCUGGCAGGGGAGAUACCAUGAUCAAGAAGGUUGUUCACCCAGGGCGAGGCUAAGCCAUUGCACUCCGGUUAUGCUGAUGGUAGCGAGAAGUAGCUGUCCUUAACUGGUGCUUAACCAUGGAAUUCUUGGAUGGAGCUGCUAAACUG